ensembl:lncRNA
CCGAGUUUCGGGCCCACGAGAUAAAACAGCGUGGUGGUAAUGCUUUGGCGUGUGAAAUACUUGACCGGCUUUGGUCUCCUGCCCUGAGGGUGGCUGGGUCUUGGAGUCAGGAAAGCAGCAAAAUAACGGAUGGGAAGGAUGACACAAAGGACACUUUGUCCACUGAUGUCAUCACUCCAUCAGAGAAGGCCACCAUAUUGGUUGGACACGACCUUCCCUUGAUAAAGCCAUGCUGUCUGUCUCAGAUCACCCGCUCAUCUCUCAUGUGCCAUGUGUCUUCCAGGAGGGACUGUUCCAUCAUCUUCCCUGGCACAAAGGUGAGACACACCAGGCUGUGGUUCCCCGGCCCCUGCUUCCUCCCCUUCUUGUAAAUAGGAGUGAUGUUGCCCUUUUCCAGUCACCGGGGACUUCGCCUGACAGCCAGGACUUUUCAAAUAUGACAGGCAGCAGCUCGGCAGCCAGCUGUCU